GGGAAGGUAGCUCAGUGGUAGAGUGAGUGCAUGCCUUGCAAACAUGAGGCCCUGGGUUCGAUUCCUCAGCACCCCA
rnacentral:tRNA from 1 species